rnacentral:rRNA from 1 species
ACGGGUGAGUAACGCGUGGGAAUCUACCCAUCCCUACGGAAUAACGCAUGGAAACGUGUGCUAAUACCGUAUACGCCCUACGGGGGAAAGAUUUAUCGGGGAUGGAUGAGCCCGCGUUGGAUUAGCUAGUUGGUGGGGUAAAGGCCUACCAAGGCGACGAUCCAUAGCUGGUCUGAGAGGAUGAUCAGCCACAUUGGGACUGAGACACGGCCCAAACUCCUACGGGAGGCAGCAGUGGGGAAUAUUGGACAAUGGGCGCAAGCCUGAUCCAGCCAUGCCGCGUGAGUGAUGAAGGCCUUAGGGUUGUAAAGCUCUUUCACCGGAGAAGAUAAUGACGGUAUCCGGAGAAGAAGCCCCGGCUAACUUCGUGCCAGCAGCCGCGGUAAUACGAAGGGGGCUAGCGUUGUUCGGAAUUACUGGGCGUAAAGCGCACGUAGGCGGACUUUUAAGUCAGGGGUGAAAUCCCGGGGCUCAACCUCGGAACUGCCUUUGAUACUGGAAGUCUGGAGUAUGGAAGAGGUAAGUGGAAUUCCGAGUGUAGAGGUGAAAUUCGUAGA